rnacentral:rRNA from 1 species
UACGUAGGAGGCGAGCGUUGUCCGGAAUUACUGGGUGUAAAGCGUGCGCAGGCGGUGAUGUAAGACAGGUGUGAAAUCCCCGGGCUUAACCUGGGAACUGCAUUUGUGACUGCAUCGCUGGAGUGCGGCAGAGGGGGAUGGAAUUCCGCGUGUAGCAGUGAAAUGCGUAGAUAUGCGGAGGAACACCGAUGGCGAAGGCAAUCCCCUGGGCCUGCACUGACGCUCAUGCACGAAAGCGUGGGGAGCAAACAGG